UUCUCUUUCCUUUUCCCCUUUCUUUUCACCAGGAUUUCAGAUACCAUUUUCCUCAGUAUCAACUAUCAAGUAUCAACUCUAUUAACAAAGUUAUGUAAUUAAAGAUGUUUUUCCCUUCUUCUUCUUUAGCUUUAUUUUUCUUCUUUUUCUUGAGAGUUAUGUAAUUAAAGAUGUUUUUCCUUCUAAUUUGUUCAGACCCAUAUGUUGAGGUAAUAGCUUUAUCUCCGAAAUCUCUCUUAGCAACAAACAGAUUCACGUGUGAGAUAUGCAACAAAGGGUUCCAGAGAGACCAAAACCUACAACUCCACAAAAGAGGCCACAACCUACCAUGGAAGCUGAAGCAGAGAACAAGCAAAGAGAUAAGGAAGAAAGUGUACAUGUGUCCUAAACCCAGUUGCGUCCACCACGACCUGUGAUGGGCCUUGGUGGGGAUCAAGAAACACUUUUGUAGGAAGCACGGUGAGAAGAAGUGGAAGUGUGAGAAAUGUUCAAAGAAGUAUGCAGUUCAAUCUGAUUGGAAAGCGCAUUCCAAGACAUGUGGCACUAGAGAGUACAUAUGUGACUGUGGAACUCUCUUCUUAAGACUGCAUUCACCACAAAGAAAGACUAUGGCAAAGAAGAGAGAGAGGCACAAUGAGCUGCUACACAGAAAACUCUUCAUGGUCUUCAGCCACCAGAAACAACCAAUCUUUUCAAUGACAAGAAUAGCUACAGGAAACUUUCAGAGAUUGUUGAUCAAGCAAAAAGACGUGCUGAGGUUGUAAGUUUAGGAAAGACCCAUCCUUCAAACCACAAGGUGGCCAGUUAAGGGAAAAUGAUAUGGACUAUGAUACUGAUGAGAAUUCAAUGGCAACACUUAGACGUCAUCUUCGGGGAGCUACCGAGGAGUACUACAGAUAUAAAAGUCAGAAGAUGCCAAGAUCAACUUUUAAUGUGGAGCUUGAUGCUGCCAAUGCAAGUUGGUUAUUCAUUAAUAUUUUAGAUUGUUCUAUCUUGUGUAAUUUGUAACAUCAGUUAAUGAAGGAGAUCCAUGUAACAUUGAGAUGGUCAUCUUAUUUUUUUGGUAUCUUUUUAUUAAGAUGGCGAGAUAUUGGCCAAUGAUGUUGAAAAAUAACAUCCAAUUUAAUAGGUA